rnacentral:rRNA from 1 species
UACGUAGGGGGCAAGCGUUGUCCGGAUUUAUUGGGCGUAAAGAGCGUGUAGGCGGUCAGGUAGGUCCGUUGUGAAAACUCGAGGCUCAACCUCGAGACGCCGAUGGAAACCAUCUGACUAGAGUCCGGAAGAGGAGAGUGGAAUUCCGUGGUGUAGCGGUGAAAUGCGCAGAUAUCAGGAAGAACACCCGUGGCUAAGGCGGCUCUCUAGUACGGUACUGACGCUGAGACGCGAAAGCGUGGGAGCGAACAGG